rnacentral:rRNA from 1 species
AGUGAACGCUGGCGGUAGGCCUAACACAUGCAAGUCGAACGGCAGCACAGGAGAGCUUGCUCUCUGGGUGGCGAGUGGCGGACGGGUGAGGAAUACAUCGGAAUCUACUCUGUCGUGGGGGAUAACGUAGGGAAACUUACGCUAAUACCGCAUACGACCUACGGGUGAAAGCAGGGGACCUUCGAGCCUUGCGCGAUUGAAUGAGCCGAUGUCGGAUUAGCUAGUUGGCGGGGUAAAGGCCCACCAAGGCGACGAUCCGUAGCUGGUCUGAGAGGAUGAUCAGCCACACUGGAACUGAGACACGGUCCAGACUCCUACGGGAGGCAGCAGUGGGGAAUAUGGACAAUGGGCGCAAGCCUGAUUCAGCCAUACCGCGUGGGUGAAGAAGGCCUUCGGGUUGUAAAGCCCUUUUGUUGGGAAAGAAAUCCAGCUGGCUAAUACCCGGUUGGGAUGACGGUACCCAAAGAAUAAGCACCGGCUAACUUCGUGCCAGCCGCCGCAGUAA